rnacentral:sRNA from 1 species
AAUCUAUUUUUGGGGAUGUUAUUAAUUAUGAAAAAAUUUUAUUUAUCAAAUAAUGAUAAAUCGAUGUUGUUUACG